AAUCUGUUGCUACAAAACCGUCCGAAAUGGAGGAACACCGGCACGACGGCGUGCAAGAGGAGAAACCGUCGUUGCUUGAAAUGUCAACCUUCCAACUGAAACACUGCAUAGAAUCCUUGUUAAGAUUCACCCUUGCUUUAUCCAUUGAAGAAUCCAUUGAUAUUGGUUUGUCGAAGGAAUUCUGCUCCAAUCUCCUCGAGGAGGACGAAGAAGAUCGAACCUACAGUCACACCUACCCCUCUUCAACUUCAUCUACAGGUGUUCCUCCAUAUCCCUUAUACAAGCACUUGGCAUCAGCUUUGUGCAAGUCGAUACCCGCUGGACGCAUUCAUCCAAUGUCUGCCGAUAUGUCAUUGAUCCAUGAAGACUCUUCUUCAAAACAGCAAAAAUGCGAGUGGAACAAAAUCAUUCAGGAAAAAGGAUCUGACCUAAUAAAAAUGCUGGAGACUGUACAGUUUGAACUUCAUGUUCAGGAGCCUUUUUUCUCCCAGCUCAAAGAUGGGCAGAAAACAAUUGAAGGAAGGUGUGCUGAUGGUGACUACAACCGUAUUGAAUCAGGAUCUUCGAUUCUCUUCAACAAAUGUUUGUUGCUUCAAGUUCAGGAUGUUCACAGGUAUGCUUCAUUUUCUGACAUGCUAGCUGCCGAGGAUCUUGCUAACGUUCUACCAGGUGUAGAAACCGUCAAAGAAGUCGGAGACAAUCAAAAUAAUGGCCACGUAAUUUCAGGGACACAAAUUUAUAGAAGGUUUUACUCAGAAGAGAAGGAAAGAUCAAAAGGUGUUCUGGCAAUACUUCUUACGGAACCUGCAUUACAGCCUUAUGAUCAUUUGGGGGCCAUUCUUUCGGCACUGCAUUAUGAUGGCGUUCAGAGGCUUCUUGGUAUUGCACACACCAUAGGAACAAUUCCUGAUGCACUUCCACUGCCGAGAUCAACGCUACUCCAUUCUUUUUCACUGCCACAUAAUCCAGAUAUAUGUUUCUUAUUCUUCUUUUGGAAGCCGGUGGUCUUCUCAAAAACGACCUCUUUGUCUCUUGGGAUAGAGGUAAGGUCUGCGUACACCCCCCUCCCCCGGGUGCGGCAGGCGGGGCGGCACUACCUCUGGGUGGGAUAUAAUGGGUUUGUUUGGUUUACAUUUGUAUAUUUCUUCAGUUCGGUACUGAACAUUGGAGCUAGGGCUUUGGCUAAGCAUGUGAACAGGAGCAAUGGAAAAUUUUGGGGAUCAUUUGCCGGAAGUGGUUAUAGCCUCAAAAGAAUAUGCUUGCUUUCAAAGUAAUCAGCAACUUGAUAGCCCAUUGUUGCUGGCUAAAUGUGCAUAUUGUUCCACCGCAUGGGGCCAUUUUUGAGAUUCGGGUUCAGGAUGGUUAUGGUGCACGAUGGUCCUUAAAGCCGACCAAGUUCAUCGGAUUUCUUGAACCGUACACGAAGGAUGGUUAUAUGAAGGGAUGGAAGCAUUAAAACAUCCAUCGAAAUCGGCAGUUGAUGGUGAUGGAUGAUCAAUGAAGGGCGGCAACGUUCUGUUUAGCUGUUACAAUCGUAAAAGCAAAAAUCGACGAGGAGGUUUGUCAUGUCUAAUGAAGAACGGGAGUGAAUGAUCAGUUAGCUGAUGUUAUUAUGUUUUUGGAGUGAGUUUCAUAGGAUUCUCCAAAACAAGUAUUCUAAUUCUAUAGUGACGAACAAUGCCGGUCAUCCAAAUAGGGACAUCUAUUUUGAUUUUAAGGAUUCAAAAAUUUGCAACUUAUUUUUUUAUAAUUA